GACCUGUCCCUUCGAACCUCAACGUUCUUACCAAUGUCAGUGAGUUGUUUUUGUCCAACAAUGGAUUGACUGGACCUCUUCCCAACCUCACUGGGAUGAGUUUUCUCAAUUAUCUGGACAUAAGCAAUAAUAGUUUUGAUGCAUCAGAUUUUCCUCCUUGGAUUUCUACAUUACAGUCUUUGACAACAUUAAUGAUGGAAGGGACACAACUUCAAGGACAAAUUCCGCCUAGCUUCUUUAGCCUUGCCAAUUUACAGACUGUGGUGCUAAGUAACAACAGACUCAAUGGCACUUUAGAUAUUGGAACAAUCAAUAGUGACCAACUACAGCUCAUUGAUUUGCAAACCAAUUCCAUUUCUGAUUAUACUCCAAAACCUGGACAAAAGCAAGUUGAUAUAAUACUUGUGAACAACCCAGUUUGUCAGGAAACUGGAGUAAUAGCAAGUUACUGCACUGUUUCCAGGCCUAAUUCUUCUUAUGUGACACUCCCAAAUAAUUGUGUGCCUAUUCCCUGUCGUUCAAAUCAGAUUUCUAGUCCCAACUGUAAUUGUGCAUAUGCAUACACAGGACUUUUAGUUUUCAGAGCUCCUUCAUUCUCAGACUUGGGAAACAUAACCAUUUACAUUUCUCUCCAGCGGAGUCUAAUGGAUUCUUUUAGGUCCAAUCAACUUCCUGUGGAUUCGGUAUCUCUAAGUAAUCCAAGAAAGGAUUUGUCUGAGUACUUGGAUUUAAAUCUUCAAGUCUUUCCAUUUGACCGAGAUUAUUUCAAUCAAACAAUUAUUUCUCAGAUUGGGUUUGUGUUGAGCAACCAGACUUUCAAGCCUCCAAAAUUCUUUGGACCGUACUAUUUUAUUGGAGAUGUUUAUCACUAUUUUGCUGGAGAAGCUACAAGAUCAAACAACUCAUCAAACACUGGUAUUAUCAUUGGAGCUGUUGCUGGAGGUUCCGCCCUCCUACUAUUAUUGGUCCUUGCAGGGCUUUAUGCUUACCGACAAAAGAAGAGAGCAGAAAGAGCAACUGAAUGGAAUAAUCCUUUUGCACACUGGGAUUCAACUAAGAGCAGUGGAGCUGGUUUUCCUCAAUUAAAAGGAGCCAGAUUCUUUUCUUUUGAGGAGCUUAAAAAAUACACCAAUAAUUUUUCAGAAGCAAAUGAUAUUGGAUCUGGGGGUUAUGGAAAGGUAUACAGAGGAGUCCUUCCCAAUGGGCAAUUGAUUGCCAUAAAACGAGCACAACAAGAAUCAUUGCAGGGUGCGCUAGAAUUCAAAACUGAGAUUGAACUUCUGUCAAGAGUGCAUCAUAAAAAUGUUGUUAGCCUUUUGGGAUUUUGUUUUGAGCGAGGUGAACAAAUGCUCAUUUAUGAGUUUGUGCCAAAUGGGAGUCUCAAUGAGAGUCUGUCAGGGAAGUCAGGAAUCAGGUUGGAUUGGGUUAGGAGACUUAAAAUAGCCCUUGGUGCAGCAAGAGGUCUGGCAUAUCUGCAUGAGCUUGCAAACCCUCCAAUUAUCCAUAGGGACAUAAAGACAACCAACAUACUACUGGAUGAUCGCUUAAAUGCGAAAGUUGCUGAUUUUGGCCUUUCCAAGCCUAUGAGUGACACUGAAAAGGGUCACAUUACCACUCAAGUCAAAGGGACAAUGGGCUAUUUGGAUCCAGAAUAUUACAUGACUCAGCAGUUAACUGAGAAGAGUGAUGUUUAUAGCUUGCAGUUAGUAGCUCCAGCAUCACAACCAAGAAAGCCAAUAGAACGCGGAAAAUACAUAGUGAGAGAGGUGAGGAUGGCGAUGGAUAGAACAAAAGAUUUAUAUAACCUCCAUGAACUUCUUGACCCAAGCAUUGGUCUACAAACAACAUUAAAAGGUCUAGAUAAGUUUGUGGAUCUGGCAAUGGAAUGUGUAAAAGAGUCGGGAGCUGACAGGCCUAUAAUGGGGGAUGUGGUGAAAGAGAUAGAGAAUAUCUUGCAGCUUGCUGGUUUAAAUCCCAAUGCUGAAUCUGCAUCUACUUCGGCUAGUUACGAGGAAGCAGGCAAGGGAAGUCCUCGUCAUCCUUACAGCAAAGAUGCCUUUGAUUAUAGUGGGGCAUUUCCACCUUCAAAGCUAGAGCCUCAAUGAGCAUCAUUACAUCCGAAUUUUACAGUUACAGUUUGAUAAUGUUUUAAAAUCA
rnacentral:misc_RNA from 1 species